AAUACAUGCAAGCUCGUGGUGCCCCAACAGCAUUCCUCGAGCAUAUUUUCAAGCAUAACAGUAGGAGCAGUAAAAUAAUCAGCACAUUUUUGUAUAACAACAGUAGCAUAACAUUAAUAUUCGGUAUGACUGCGCUUUUGCAUGGUUGAGAACCCAGUAUCGGCCCGCGUUUACGGCCACAGUUAGCUAUAUAUUAAAUGGCGUCCAAAGACUUCCGUGUGGCUAGGCUACCUAGCUCUGCCUCAGGUUUGGGAGCAUCAAAACAAUCCUGCAUCGCCUUUAUGCCAUGCUGUACAAUAGAGGGCUUGUGUGGGCCCGCUCGGCUAGUGCCCUUUUUUUUCGGCCGGCUAUUUAUUCUGGAUAAAUUAGUGGCAUGGUGGUGGCUGAGAUAGUGUGUCCAGCAUUUCUGAGGGCUGGGCUCAUACGUUUAUGUUCAGACUUAGGGUGCUAUUCCUGCUAGGCUUAUGAGACACAAUCUUAUACAUUGCAAGAUAUUAGCUAAUAGAGUACAUCACAUGUCUGAGUUACUGCAUUAUUUACUUUGAUGUAGAUUACAUUACCCAAACCUAAGCAGACACAGAGUUGGGUAUUCAAUGGUAGGCUUCUAAUCGCAGGUUAAUCCUGCUGAGAGAGGUUAUGGGCACUUAUGCAGGUUGAAGCGAUGCAAGAAAAGGAAAGUGCUUAAGAAAUCAUAUAACAUGGCAGAUCUGGUACAGAUAAAAUUAAACAAAAGUAUGAACAAUGUACACGCUGAGUGUGGAUAUCGGAGCCUUAUUCUGCU